CCUACGGGUGGCAGCAGUGAGGAAUAUUGGUCAAUGGGCGGGAGCCUGAACCAGCCAAGCCGCGUGAGGGAAGAAGGUACAGCGUAUCGUAAACCUCUUUUGUCAGGGAACAAAGGCGGGGACUAGUCCCCGGAUGAGGGUACCUGAAGAAAAAGCAUCGGCUAACUCCGUGCCAGCAGCCGCAGUAAUACGGAGGAUGCGAGCGUUAUCCGGAUUUAUUGGGGUUAAAGGGUGCGCAGGCGGCCUGUUAAGUCAGCGGGAAAAGCCCGGGGCUCAACCCCGGCGAGCCGUUGAAACUGGCGGGCUGGAGUUGGAGAGAAGUACGCGGAAUGCGCGGUGUAGCGGUGAAAUGCUUAGAUAUCGCGCAGAACCCCGAUUGCGAAGGCAGCGUACCGGCUCCACACUGACGCUGAGGCACGAAAGCGUGGGUAUCGAACAGGAUUAGAUACCCUAGUAGUC
rnacentral:rRNA from 1 species